UCUUCUCCGCCGGCGACCGGCGCCACGGGUGGAGUAACACGUAUGCAACCUGCCCCUGUCAGGGGGACAACCCGCCGAAAGGCGGGCUAAACCCGCGUACAUGCCACCGGGGCAUCCCGGAGGCAGGAAAGGCUUCGGCCGGACAGGGAUGGGCAUGCGGCGCAUUAGGCAGUAGGCGGGGUAACGGCCCACCUAACCGACGAUGCGUAGGGGUUCUGAGAGGAAGGUCCCCCACACUGGUACUGAGACACGGACCAGACUCCUACGGGAGGCAGCAG
rnacentral:rRNA from 1 species